rnacentral:rRNA from 1 species
GGUGAACGCUGGCGGCGUGCCUAACACAUGCAAGUCGAGCGACCACACGAUAAGCUCUCUCCCCUACCGUUAGCGGCUGACGGAUGAGUAACACGUGCAUCACCAUCUACUAAUUCUUGGAUAACUUCGUGGAGCCGCAGCUGCUACUAGCGCAUACAACCUACGGGAGAGAUCAAGGGAUCUUCGCGGCUUUCCUGUCUCUUUUAGCCGAGGCCGCAUUAGCUAGUUGGCGUGGUAAGGGACCACCAAGGCGACGAUGCGUAGCCGGUCUGAGAGGAUGAUCGGCCACACUGGAACUGAGACACGGUCCAGACUCCUACGGGAGGCAGCAGUGGGGAAUAUUGCGCAAUGGGCGCAAGCCUGACGCAGCAACACCGCGUGAGUGAAGAAGGUCUUCGGGUUGUAAAGCUCUGUUGUUGGGAAAGAAAAACAGUAGGUUAAUACACGGCUGUUCUGACGGUACCUAAAGAAUAAGCACCGGCUAACUUCGUG